GUUUUUUUUCUUCUGACUUCUUUUCUUCUGACUCCCAUUCUCUUUUCUUACUAGUACAUAGUAGAGAGAUGUUCGAAAAUCCUAUUGGUAGGAACUGUCACUUCCUAAUAGAGAUCUCUACGGACCCCAUUGAAUAGAAAUAUGGACACAUUGUUACAGUUCCCUGGGUUUCAUCUUUCAUCAUAUUUCAUGCCUUUUUUUCUCACCCUUUCAAUUCCCUCAAGUUUGCUUUAGGGAAUGCUCUUCUUUAACCAUUUCAUUAUGGUUGUAUAUGGGUCCUGUUGAUUCAAAUGUGCACCUCUCAGAUACACUCUUGCUUAUAAUUACAUUAUUUUAUAUAAGGUGAGGCUUCUCUUGCUAUCUAACAGCAGUACUUUGAUUUUUAUAUUUUGCUGUAUACUCGGGAAAGCAAUACCAAAAUACCAGGACAGUUUAUAGGUAAACACCAUUUCUUAUAUGUCAAGUUCAGGAGCACAUGGAAGAAAAGAUAUUUCAGAAAUCUUAAUGAGCAUCUUUUACCAUCCAGGGCUGUACCAGUAUCCUCCUUUUCAGACUAUGGUACUCUGUUUUGUUUUUGCUGUAUUUGAAAGUCAGUUGUUUUUUCCGUGAUGCCCCCUUUUCUACACCCUGCAGUCUUCACCCAGAGCUGAUGAGGCUCUUUCAUUUUUAUUUCUGUAUCCCUGUGUAUUGCAAAGUUGAGCCCUGCCAUCUAGGCUGCCUUUUGCUUCAUUUUGCUCCUGACCUAAACCCCCCUGCUAUUCCAGGCCUGGCCUCUCAUGACCAGAGACUGCUGACUCAUCCUGGCCUGUGCCAAGCUGUGCAGUCGCUUAGUGAUGUGGACAGGAGUCGAAGGACUAGAAUGAGAUCACUGAACUCAUUUCACUUGUUGCUUACGGUACAGUCCAGCAUGAGCUGGAAAUGUAGGAACCUCAGCCUCCCGAGCAGAAAGACACUCUGGAACACUGUGAACUCGACAGACUAAUCAGAGCAGGGAGUUUAACGGCCAGGCCUGGACACUCUCAAGAGACUGUGCUGAUUCUCAGUCGUCACUCCUUGGAUCAGGAACCACAGUCCUGGUGAGUUGUGAGGUUCCAAAAUUUGAUGUGUCAAGAAUUCUAUUCUUGGUGUCUCUGAGGCAGGCAGGAAAUAAAGGGUGUUUUUAAAAACAAAAACACAGUUUUUUUAAGAAAGCUAGCAAACAAACAGAAUGAUGAAGAUUUCUAGUGUGCAAAGCUGAGAGCACUCUGGACAACGGCAGAGCUGGAGUCUAUGCUCAGGAGAGCCUGCAGGCGUAGGCUUUCUGCUGCCGCACAUGGCUGUCAGCCUUGACAUGCUUAGCAAACAUGCUUGUGGAAGAAGGAAGAUAGUUCGGGGGAGGAGAGGGAAGCAGUAUUCAGGGUGGUAGGAGGGGGAAAUGAAAGUGGAGUUCAUUGUGUACUUGAAGUUUCCCUCUACCAACUUUUCACGUAUCUCUGUUCUGAGCAUUUAUGUUAUAUUCAGG
rnacentral:lncRNA from 1 species